rnacentral:sRNA from 2 species
AUAUGCCCCCGAAAGAGAGGGGUGAGAAUCCUCGACCAGGGUUCGACAACUGGCUGUAGCCAGUUGGACAGACUGAGAGCGCAGCGAACAGGCUGCCCGUAGGGCGAGCGAAGCGAGUCAGCCCCUCUCUCACCGCCA